rnacentral:rRNA from 1 species
UACGGAGGAUGCGAGCGUUAUCCGGAUUUAUUGGGUUUAAAGGGUGCGUAGGCGGAUCGUUAAGUCAGUGGUCAAAUUGAGGGGCUCAACCCCUUCCCGCCAUUGAAACUGGCGAUCUUGAGUGGAAGAGAAGUAUGCGGAAUGCGUGGUGUAGCGGUGAAAUGCAUAGAUAUCACGCAGAACCCCGAUUGCGAAGGCAGCAUGCCGGCUUCCUACUGACGCUGAAGCACGAAAGCGUGGGGAUCGAACGGG